rnacentral:rRNA from 1 species
UACGAAGGGGGCUAGCGUUGUUCGGAUUUACUGGGCGUAAAGCGCACGUAGGCGGAUCGAUCAGUCAGGGGUGAAAUCCCAGAGCUCAACUCUGGAACUGCCUUUGAUACUGUCGAUCUGGAGUAUGGAAGAGGUGAGUGGAAUUCCGAGUGUAGAGGUGAAAUUCGUAGAUAUUCGGAGGAACACCAGUGGCGAAGGCGGCUUUUUGGUCUGUAACUGACGCUGAGGCGCGAAGGCCAGGGGAGCAAACGGG